rnacentral:rRNA from 1 species
UCANCCAUAGUGUGCUCUGGAAACUNUCUGACUUGAGUGCAGAAGGGGAGAGUGGAAUUCCAUGUGUAGCGGUGAAAUGCGUAGAUAUAUGGAGGAACACCAGUGGCGAAAGCGGCUCUCUGGUCUGUCACUGACGCUGAGGCUCGAAAGCGUGGGUAGCGAACAGGAUUAGAUACCCUGGUAGUCCACGCCGUAAACGAUGAGUGCUAGGUGUUAGGCCCUUUCCGGGGCUUAGUGCCGGAGCUAACGCAAUAAGCACUCCGCCUGGGGAGUACGACCGCAAGGUUGAAACUCAAAGGAAUUGACGGGGGCCCGCACAAGCGGUGGAGCAUGUGGUUUAAUUCGAAGCAACGCGAAGAACCUUACCAGGUCUUGACAUCCCGAUGCUAUUCUUAGAGAUAGGAAGUUACUUCGGUACAUCGGAGACAGGUGGUGCAUGGUUGUCGUCAGCUCGUGUCGUGAGAUGUUGGGUUAAGUCCCGCAACGAGCGCAACCCUUAUUGUUAGUUGCCAUCAUUAAGUUGGGCACUCUAGCGAGACUGCCGGUAAUAAACCGGAGGAAGGUGGGGAUGACGUCAAAUCAUCAUGCCCCUUAUGACCUGGGCUACACACGUGCUACAAUGGUCGGUACAACGAGUUGCGAGCCGGUGACGGCAAGCUAAUCUCUGAAAGCCGAUCUCAGUUCGGAUUGGAGGCUGCAACUCGCCUCCAUGAAGUCGGAAUCGCUAGUAAUCGCGGAUCAGCACGCCGCGGUGAAUACGUUCCCGGGCCUUGUACACACCGCCCGUCACACCACGAGAGUUUGUAACACCCGAAGUCGGUGAGGUAACCUUUUAGGGGCCAGC